rnacentral:rRNA from 1 species
AUUGAACGCUGGCGGCAGGCCUAACACAUGCAAGUCGAACGAGUGGCGGACGGGUGAGCAAUGUCUGGGAAACUGCCUGAUGGAGGGGGAUAACUACUGGAAACGGUAGCUAAUACCGCAUACCAUCAGAUGUGCCCAGAUGGGAUUAGCUUGUGGUGGGGGUAACGGCUCACCAAGGCGACGAUCCCUAGCUGGUCUGAGAGGGUGACCAGCCACACUGGAACUGAGCCACGGGCCAGACUCCUACGGGAGGCGGCAGUGGGGAAUAUUGCACAAUGGGCGCAAGCCUGAUGCAGCCAUGCCGCGUGAAUGAGGAAGGCCUUCGGAUUGUAAAGUACUUUCAGCGGGGAGGCGUUAGCCGAAGAAGAAGCACCGGCUAACUCCGUGCCAGCAGCCGCGGUAAUAC